AUUAAAUUGCUCCCUUGCUCGCCCCUUCUAUCGAUGAAGUGGCCUUUGUGGACGAGAAGCUCAUAUGCUGCAUGAUAAAAAAGCCUCUAUAUGAAGUAGGUCCAUCAACGCAAGUCCUUCAGCACACAACAACCUUCCCCUUCCUCUCAUUUCAACAAGUGCAUCCAUUCACUAAAUCCAAAGAUAGGUAUGUGAGCUUGUAGAUUUUCUGCUUCUGUGAUAGAGGGCCCACUUCUGAGUAAAUAUACAUGACUCAUUUAAAGUUAAUAUAACAAAUAUUUUUAGUAUUCAGGCAAUAAAACACUAAUUUAAACAUAUUUAUGGAUACUGUAUUCCAUUUCUACCAACUCAGCUCUGCUAAAUACUGUUAAAUUCUGCACAGCAUACCUUUAAAGCCACUGUGAGGAGUUUUUAACAGGUUGUAAAACUUCCUAAUGACCUGCAAAAGUAAAUAAAACUACCACCAACAAAAUGAUGAUCUCUAGAUAUCAAGUUUUAACGCUGCAAAAGUGUUUGAGUCCACAGAAACAGACUUUUCUUUGAUUUUCACAUUUGUGUUUGGAAAAUUUUGCCUUUUUUUCAGAAAGGGAAAAUAAAACAAAGGAGAUGUGGGGAGGAGAGAGCAAGGGCAGAGAUGCUGCAAAGGUUUGUGGAUGGGAAUCAAACCAGUGACCCCUGCGAAGACGACUAUGUCUCCUGUUUUUGGGUGUGCUUAGACCGCUGGGCCAUCGGCGAGGAAGAAACGUUUAUGGUGAGUUUUUUUGUUGUUGAGAUUCUGCCUUGUUUUGUGCAGGACAGGCUCAACAAUGUGAGAAAAUAUGCAUCUAUAUGGUACAUCUUUGCCAACAGGGGGCAUCAAACCAAACCAAAAACAUGUUAAGUUUGGGGAAAAGAAAAGCAAAAGGAUCUUUUAUUUUUGAUCAUGUUUAGCACACGCAAAAAUGUGUAGUUCAUUACUUUGCCUUGAGAAAUCCAAGUGAAUUCUGUUACACGAGGCCCUAAAUCUCUCAGCUCUGGCUGCCUCAUUAGUGAGUUCGCCAAGGCCCCUACCUCUCCAUCAAAUCACCGCCCUCCUUUUUUUUCCCCGUCUGACUCAGUUUGGUGAGAAAACACUGAAACACUUUCCUGUAUAUUUAAUCAAAACUGAGCCUACAUUUCAAGAUGGCUCCUGUAUUUGACCCUCCACCCCUCUAAUGAACGUCUCUUUGGUUUGUAUGGCACGUACCAGUUCAAGCGAUAUCCCAUGCAACGCCUGUGCAACACGGCAGAGUGUUUGGAUAGAUAUUUAUUUCUUCAGAGAUUCUUUUAGCCUGAAAGGAGGAGCGCGAAAAGAGCGAGUGUGCUCAGAAACAGCAGGUCUGAAAUCAAGGAGUGGCUGGGAAACAUGCGGCAGAGACACAGGAGGACAAUUUAAAAGCCAGAAACAUGUUAAACAAACACAGACAUGCAAUAGAUCCACAGUCAGAAUCGGUGCCUGGCCAUUCACGCACUCAUUAUUAGGAAAGAAGGCGGUGUUGUUCUGCAGGCUGGCACUUCCAGCUGCUUACAAUAACGGUUUUGUCGCUCGGUUUUAAAAGCCUAUUCAAUGGAAGUUUUUUUUGCAUGAGGCUGAACUCAAUGAAUUCCUUGUAAAAAAGCAGUUAUUUAGCCUCCUCUGCUGUAUUGUUCCUCCAUGACUUUCUUAAAGACGAGGCAGCACAGGCCCUGAAAGGUGCAUUCAAGCAUCUUAAAAUCUGUCCUCAUAUUCAAUAUCAACCAACUUCAAGUCUAAACCUGACUCGAUUUUGCAUCAUUCGGCUUCGAUCCCACUCUACAAACGAGAGAUCUCUGUGUAUGAAUGGCUGCUUUAGAUUCUUGCAUCUCCUCCUUGACUCCUGCAUUUGAUCUUUACCACCUGAGCAUUGACUUUACAACAUGUUGAUGGAUUUUAUGAAGCUAGGCUCUCCACUGGCGCUGAGCUUUCUGUGCGGAGCGGAGGAAACAGCCUUUGAUGCUCUGAACUAAUCUUAUUCAGAGGGAUUUUGCAAGUCUCUCUAACAUCUGUCUGCCUGGACCACUUUUGGUUAUCGACAGAGCCAAAGAUAAUUUCAUUUCACUUUCAUUCAACAUCCUCAUAAAAACUCGUUUCGCCCGCGGCUUUCAGCGCAGCUUCAAAGUAACUUCUCUGAGUCAUCGAUAAAGAUUGAUUUAGAACGAGUAUCCUGGUGUUUCACUCAGUGCAGACAUCAUUUUUACAUCAUAAUCCAACCAGUGGAUAAGCUGGAUAAAAUAACACAAUCAGUGCAAGGUACAGGCUGGUGAACAGGGGCGUAACUAGACCUUUUUGACUUGGGUGGACCGCACAAUGUGAGCCCACAAUAAAUCGCAUUUAUCAUAUAUUACAUAAAAGCCAUCACUUAUCACUGAGGUGCGAAUGGAGUGAAGCAAACAGAGAGUGCUUUGUAAAGCUUUUUCAGAUCCAUGCUAACUGAAGUAAUUGUAUUAUUUCUGCGUCACACUAUUACAGCAGAGUCAGGGCUUGACAAUAACUGUUUUCACAAGGGCAUCAUGAAAAUUGAUCAAAUAAUGUAUGUCUUAUUGGUCGACUUAAGUACUAUUAUUUGAAAUCAAUUUUAGGUCAAUUAGUCACAUGACAUGGAAGCUAUUGAAGGAAAACAGCCUUUUUCGAGAACAUCAACUGGUAAUUUAUUGAUGGUCCCUUAUUUCAAAAUCUGACGUUGACAGUGAGGAUGCCGAGUAGAUGUAACAGCGCUGCUGUUGCUAUUCCCGGUUGUGGAGAGUAAAGGUCCUUUCAUACCGGGACUGUUUUUGUUGUGCGGUUAAUUUGGACGUCAACAUUUUUUUUCGUCAAUACAAGCGUUCACAUCAGUGACAUUUUCCUGUCCUGCGAUACAACGGCAUUUAUUUUUUUGGAUCACAGUCAAUUUUUCUAAAUUUUUGCAUACUGUGUCUCCACUUCUGACCAAUCAGAUUGCAUGUUGUUGCGGCGUCUGAUUCACCGGUAUAUCCAACACGGUCGACCGGCUGAUUGUUUACGUGUCGGAGAACAGAGUGCUUUUCGAUAAAAGACACAAAUGUUACAAAGAUAACGACCUGAAGGACAACUUGUGGAGAGUCAUAGCGUCGGAUUUCUCAUAUGACGAUGGUUUUUGUGCUUUAACAGUUUGCUAAACGUCUUUGUUUGAACUUUUAUCUGUGCUAAUGUAAGCUAACGGUUGUUACCAUAGUUUCAUGUGCGUAUCUUAUCGCCUCUGAUUGGCUAUAAGUGCUGACCAUUUGGCUUGAGUGUGUGUGAUGACCUUUCUUGCCAAUCAGAGGUAAGGGAGGCGGGACUCGCAUCAGGCUUGAUGUGUAUAGUCAGGUGCGUCAAAAUUCGCCUCUGAAUAUUUCACAAUUUUUGUGUACUAUAUUCACGUCGGUCCUGGUGUGUAAGGACCUUAAGAACACACUGGUAGAUCUGCCAUGAAUGUCCGUUGGAUAUCCAACCUAAAACUAAGCUGAUUUUUUUUUUUAAUGCGCAUAUGUGCCCCCAAAUACAUUUUACAAUUCGUACACAUCUAUUUUUAUUCGCAAAUGCAAGUCAAACGGUCGAACUGUCCAGCCUUGAGAAUAUACGGUCAUAUAAGAACUGACUCACAGCUUAACUUUCACUCUGUUUUCACGUGUUUUCUGUAUUCACACAGGCCGUCAGAUCUCCUCCACAUCACAACUCGCUCCCUGAGAAUCGACAGCAUGUGAGACCUUCAGCCGGCAUUAAAAGAAUGAAGUCCAACAUGACAACAACUUGAUAUUUAUAUCAAAAGCAUCCUGAGAGCUCCUGGCUUAGCCGCCGUAAUCACGUUAGCUCAGCGUCUCCUGUGGGGAAGUAAUCUACUUUGAUGCUCUGUCUGCUACCAAAACAUUAAAUCUGUGUCAGGCUGAGCAGCUACCACAGGUCCAGCCCGCUCCCUAAUUCAAUUAUGGUACAUUAGUCGACUCAUGUCCUUUUUAACGUCCAGGCAGCCAACAGCCCUGAUUACGGGAGCCACAAAUUGUCAAAUAGCAAACCUGGAUAAACAUUUCUGUCCGUCAAAAGAAGAAGGGCUGUAAUUAUGCUCUGUAAUGUUAUUUCUCAGGACGGAUGAUGUGCAGCACAGGAGUUCACUUUCAUGAUUACUUACGUCAAACUGUUUCUUCCAGCUUUAGUUGGACUUUAAAGUGAACUGGUUUGACCUGGACACAUCUCUCUGCAUGGAGACGGUGAUUAGAAGUGAG